rnacentral:rRNA from 2 species
GUGCGAGACCGAUAGCGAACAAGUACCGUGAGGGAAAGAUGAAAAGAACUUUGAAAAGAGAGUUAAAGAGUACCUGAAACUGCUGAAAGGGAACCGAAUCGUUUCCAGUGUCUAUAAUCUAUGGCAUAUUUCAUUGGCGUGUGGAUGUGUGCGGCGUUUUGGAAGUAGUUUUCUGCUCCUGGCGUUGUUUUGCGUUCGCCUGCUGGUGCCCUGUGCUGUAGUGGGACGUCAGAGUCAGUUCGUAUACUGCGGGAAAUGGUUACUGGGGAGGUAGGUCACUUCGGUGGCUGUUAUAUCCUGGUGACUAGUCGUCGUGGUUGGGACUGAGGUGCCUACAAUGUGCUUUCGAGUCUAUGGGACUCUCGUUUGGCUGUUUGCUUUGAUAGCUUGCUAUGUUAGUGAACGUGUUGAGCGAUUGAGAUCUGUAGUAACUUGUUGCUGUUCGGGACUUUGAA